UACGAAGGGGGCUAGCGUUGCUCGGAAGCACUGGGCGUAAAGCGCACGUAGGCGGAUUGUUAAGGCAGGGGUGAAAUCCUGGAGCUCAACUCCAGAACUGCCUUUGAUACUGGCGAUCUUGAGUCCGGGAGAGGUGAGUGGAACUGCGAGUGUAGAGGUGAAAUUCGUAGAUAUUCGCAAGAACACCAGUGGCGAAGGCGGCUCACUGGCCCGGUACUGACGCUGAGGUGCGAAAGCGUGGGGAGCAAACAGG
rnacentral:rRNA from 1 species